rnacentral:ncRNA from 1 species
CCCAUCGCUCCUACCGAUUGAAUGAUCCAGUGAAAUGUUCGGAUUAUGGCGACGGGGGCGGUUCGCUACCCACGACGUCACGAGAAUUCUAUUGAACCUUAUCAUUUAGAGGAAGGAGACGUCGUUA